GGAAACAUUGACAUAUAAAAACAAUUUUCAUGAAAACAUUUCCACUUAUAUUUAAUUUUUCUUCUCAAUAGAAAAAUAUUUCCAACUUAAUCCUCCCUCUCCCCUCUUGAAAUGAACUGCAUGCUUUAGAAAUAACAUCAAUCCACCCAAGUCCACAAGGACAAUCUCAGCCAUUUAAUGGAGUUUACAGAAUGGUCUGGUGCAGAGGCACAGACUGCCUUUCAGGAUGCUAACGAACGUGGGCAGG
rnacentral:lncRNA from 1 species